CUUUCGAAGUCGUCGUAAAGAUUACAAUAUCUACGCGGGGCGAUGGUGACUGUCCCGUGUAGGUGUAAAGAACCGGCCAAACUACUUCUUGGCCUGCACACACUGCCGACCCGAUGUGGGCGUGCGCACAGGAAGUUGAAGAUCUAAUGGCAAUUCAAUUAUGAAGUGCAUGUGAACAUCAGAAGAUAGAAGUUGAAUGAACAAACUUAAUGGUGCAAAUAAACAGUUUCAAGUUAAACAUGAA